GACGAACGCUGGCGGCGUGCUUAACACAUGCAAGUCGAACGGGCCUUGUCCCCUUUUUUUUUGGGGGUGGGGUUAGUGGCGAACGGGUGAGUAACACGUGAGUAACCUGCCCCUCACUUCUGGAUAACCGCUUGAAAGGGUGGCUAAUACGGGGUGUUCUGGCCUGCUCGCAUGGGUGGGUUUGGAAAGAUUCGACCGGUUUUGGUUGUUUUGGUGGGGGAUGGGCUCGCGGCCUAUCAGCUUGUUGGUGGGGUGAUGGCCUGCCAAGGCUUUGACGGGUAGCCGGCCUGAGAGGGUGGGCGGUCACACUGGGACUGAGACACGGCCCAGACUCCUACGGGAGGCAGCAGUGGGGAAUAUUGCACAAUGGGCGCAAGCCUGAUGCAGCGACGCCGCGUGAGGGGUGGAGGCCUUCGGGUUGUGAACCUCUUUCGCCAGUGAAGAAGGUCCUGCUCUUUGUGGUGGGGUUGACGGUAGCUGGGUUAAUGAAGCGCCGGCUAACUACGUG
rnacentral:rRNA from 1 species